GUAACACGUAGGCAAUCUGCCUCGAGGUGGUGGACGUAACCCGUACCGAAAGGAGGGCUAAUACAGCAUGAGACCACGUCGUCGAAGACGAUGCGGCCGAAAGCCGGCCUCUUCAUGAAAGCUGGCGCCACGAGAUGAGCCUGCGGCCCAUCAGCUAGUGGUAGGGUAACGGCCUACCAAGGCAAAGACGGGUAGCUGGUCUGAGAGGAUGAUCAGCCACACUGGAACUGAGACACGGUCCAGACUCCUACGGGAGGCAGCAGUGGGGAAUCUUGCGCAAUGGGCGAAAGCCUGACGCAGCGACGCCGCGUGAGCGAUGAAGGCCUUCGGGUUGUAAAGCUCUGUGGAGGGGGACGAAUAAGGGCACGCUAAUACCGUGUUUGAUGACGGUACCCCUUUUAGCAAGCACCGGCUAACUCUGUGCCAGCAGCCGCGGUAAGACAGAGGGUGCAAACGUUGUUCGGAAUUACUGGGC
rnacentral:rRNA from 1 species